CCUACGGGCGGCAGCAGUGAGGAAUAUUGGUCAAUGGACGAGAGUCUGAACCAGCCAAGUCGCGUGCAGGAUGACUGCCCUAUGGGUUGUAAACUUCUUUUGUACAAGGAUAAAACGAGACACGUGUACCUUUUUGCAUGUACUUUAUGAAUAAGGAUCGGCUAACUCCGUGCCAGCAGCCGCGGUAAUACGGAGGAUCCAAGCGUUAUCCGGAUUUAUUGGGUUUAAAGGGAGCGUAGGUGGGUUGUUAAGUCAGUUGUGAAAUUUUGCGGCUCAACUGCAAAAUUGCAUUUGAUACUGGUAGGCUAGAGUAUAGUUGAGGUAGGCGGAAUGCGUGGUGUAGCGGUGAAAUGCUUAGAGAUCACGAAGAACCCCGAUUGCGAAGGCAGCUUACCAAGCUGUGACUGACAUUGAUGCUCGAAAGUGUGGGUAGCAAACAGGAUUAGAUACCCCUGUAGUC
rnacentral:rRNA from 1 species